CAGUUCGGCCUGUCCUUGACAGAUGCCCGAGGACAAGCUAUCAUUGAACGAACACAUCAAACACUGAAACAGUUAUUGGAAAAA